AUGCUCGCUUGGGCAGCACGUACACUAAAACUGGAACAAAUACAGAAAGGAUUAGCAUGGCCCUGCACAAGGAUGACAUGCAAAUUCAGAGGCAUUCCAUAUUUUU
rnacentral:snRNA from 2 species